rnacentral:rRNA from 1 species
CCUACGGGUGGCAGCAGUGAGGAAUAUUGGUCAAUGGGCGGAAGCCUGAACCAGCCAAGUCGCGUGAGGGAAUAAGGCCCUACGGGUCGUAAACCUCUUUUGUCAGGGAACAAAGGCGGGGACGUGUCCCCGGAUGAGUGUACCUGAAGAAAAAGCAUCGGCUAACUCCGUGCCAGCAGCCGCGGUAAUACGGAGGAUGCGAGCGUUAUCCGGAUUUAUUGGGUUUAAAGGGUGCGCAGGCGGUCUGUUAAGUCAGCGGUCAAAGCCCGGGGCUCAACCCCGGCCCGCCGUUGAAACUGGCAGUCUCGAGUUGGAGAGAAGUAUGCGGAAUGCGCGGUGUAGCGGUGAAAUGCAUAGAUAUCGCGCAGAACUCCGAUUGCGAAGGCAGCAUGCCGGCUCCACACUGACGCUGAGGCACGAAAGCGUGGGUAUCGAACAGGAUUAGAUACCCGGGUAGUC